CAGUCGCCGCGGUAAUACAGAGGGUGCAAGCGUUAAUCGGAAUUACUGGGCGUAAAGCGCGCGUAGGUGGUUCGCCAAGUUGGAUGUGAAAUCCCCGGGCUCAACCUGGGAACUGCAUCCAAAACUGGCGAGCUAGAGUAUGGUAGAGGGUGGUGGAAUUUCCUGUGUAGCGGUGAAAUGCGUAGAUAUAGGAAGGAACAUCAGUGGCGAAGGCGACCACCUGGACUGAUACUGACACUGAGGUGCGAAAGCGUGGGGAGCAAACAGGAUUAGAGACCCCCGUAGUCCCUGUCUCUUAUAC
rnacentral:rRNA from 1 species